rnacentral:rRNA from 1 species
GUCUUUUAGAUUUAAUAAUUUAAAGUCUAACCUGCCCACUGAAAUUAAUUUGAAGGGCCGCAGAUUUAAAUUGUGCAAAGGUAGCAUAAUCAAUAGUCUUUUAAUUGGGGACUUGAAUGAAUGGUUUGACGAAAUUUAUGUUUUAUUAAAUUAAUUAAAAUAAAAAUUAUUUUUUUAAUUAAAAAAUUAAAAUUUUUUAAAAAGACGAGAAGACCCUAUAAAUCUUUAUAUUAAUUUAUUAAAUUAAUUUAUAUUUAAUUAAUAUUUAAUUGGGGUGAUUUUAAAAUUUAUAAAACUUUUAAUUUAUUUAUUCAUUAAUUUUUGUAUAUGUUUAGAUCAAUAUUUUAAAAUUAUAAAAUUAGAUUAAGAUACUUUAGGGAUAACAGCGUAAUUUUAAUUUUAAGAUUUUAUUGAAAUUAAAGAUUGCGACCUCGAUGUUGGAUUAAAAUUAAAAUUAAAUAUAUCCGUUUAAUUUUUAAGUCUGUUCGACUUUUAAAAUUUU